AAGUCGUAACAAGGUUUCCGUAGGUGAACCUGCGGAAGGAUCAUUGACAAAUCUAAACACUGUUGCUUGGAGUGGGAGUCCGCUCUCGCUUCAAGUAUACAACACAUCUUAACCUGUGAAUUGGCAGUGCGCAAGUGCUGUUGUUUGGCAUAGCAGCAGAUAGCACGUUAAGUGUCUAGCUCUGUUCCUUGCCUAAACAUUUACGUAAACUAUUGUCUUAACAAACAACAAACAAAAUACAACUUUUAGCAAUGGAUCUCUUGGCUUCU
rnacentral:misc_RNA from 1 species